CACAGAGGAGAGAUUUGGAGACAGAGAUACUGUCGCUCCAAAAUAUAUGACAGAGAUGUUGACAAGUUCAAGAGGAUACAGCACACCAGGGAACCAACCUUGCAUAGUGUGACAGGACCCCAAAAUCGGAAUUGGUACUGCUGGAUCCAGGACUAAUGGAAGAGAGAAUAACCUUUUCUGUUCGUGCAGCAGGGAGAAGAGAGAUCCGCCCGAAAUAUAUUGCGUUACUAUAGCAAACUGACUUGGGUCAUCUAAACAAGCUCCGACAAACUGAAUCACACAUGGGUGGUUGAGGCGACAGAGAAUGGAGACCUCUCGACAAAACAUGUCCACAUCAGACUUGGAGCAGUACGUGUU